AGUAUUCUUUUAGGGUGGACCAUAUGCCACAUUUGGGUGAAUUUCACUGGGGCUGGAUGACUUCUGAACUUCAGGAAUCUUUUCAGAAUAUGAAGUCCCCUGAAGUCAACCGAGUUGAAGAAACAGAACUAAAUUUCCCAUUCUUGAGUCCAGUGACAUUAUCUUGGACUUACGUCAACGAAGUUGAAAGCACACAGUCAUUUAGCUGAAUAUUGCCAAGAGGAAAGAUCAUGAUCAUGACAUAACUUCUUGUUCUGUUGGUGGUGAUGAUAAGGGAUGUUGUGAUGGGUCAACAUUACAAGAUACAAGGUAAGAAAGAA